GAUGAACGCUGGCGGCGUGCCUAAUACAUGCAAGUCGAGCGAACAGACGAGGAUCUUGCUCCUCUGACGUUAGCGGCGGACGGGUGAGUAACACGUGGAUAACCUACCUAUAAGACUGGGAUAACUUCGGGAAACCGGAGCUAAUACCGGAUAAUAUAUUGAACCGCAUGGUUCAAUAGUGAAAGACGGUUUUGCUGUCACUUAUAGAUGGAUCCGCGCCGCAUUAGCUAGUUGGUAAGGUAACGGCUUACCAAGGCAACGAUGCGUAGCCGACCUGAGAGGGUGAUCGGCCACACUGGAGCUGAGACACGGACCAGACUCCUACGGGAGGCAGCAGUAGGGAAUCUUCCGCAAUGGGCGAAAGCCUGACGGAGCAGCGCAGCGUGAGUGAUGAAGGUCUUCGGAUCGUAAAACUCUGUUAUUAGGGAAGAACAAAUGUGUAAGUAACUAUGCACGUCUUGACGGUACCUAAUCAGAAAGCCACGGCUAACUACGUG
rnacentral:rRNA from 1 species